rnacentral:rRNA from 1 species
CUGCAUGGCUGUCGUCAGCUCGUGUCGUGAGAUGUUGGGUUAAGUCCCGCAACGAGCGCAACCCUUGCCAUUGGUUGCUACGAAAGGGCACUCUAAUGGGACUGCCGGUGACAAACCGGAGGAAGGUGGGGAUGACGUCAAGUCCUCAUGGCCCUUAUAGGUGGGGCUACACACGUCAUACAAUGGCCGGUACAGAGGGUAGCCAACCCGCGAGGGGGGAGCCAAUCCCACAAAGCCGGUCGUAGUCCGGAUCGCAGUCUGCAACUCGACUGCGUGAAGUCGGAAUCGCUAGUAAUCGUGGAUCAGCAUGUCACGGUGAAUACGUUCCCGGGUCUU